rnacentral:rRNA from 1 species
UACGUAGGGGGCUAGCGUUGUCCGGAAUCAUUGGGCGUAAGGCGCGUGUAGGCGGCUCGGUAAGUCUGCUGUGAAAGUCCAGGGCUCAACCCUGGGAUGCCGGUGGAUACUGUCGAGCUCGAGUCCGGAAGAGGCGAGUGGAAUUCCUGGUGUAGCGGUGAAAUGCGCAGAUAUCAGGAGGAACACCAAUGGCGAAGGCAGCUCGCUGGGACGUGACUGACGCUGAGGCGCGAAAGCGUGGGGAGCAAACAGG